GAGGGUGGGAGGGAGAUGCAAGAGGGAGGAGAUAUGGGGAUAUAUGUAUAUGUAUAGCUGAUUCACUUUGUUAUACAGCAGAAACUAACACACCAUUGUAAAGCAAUUAUAGUCCAAUAAAGAUGUUUAAAAAAAAAGUACUAAUUUGUUUUACCUUUCUUCUGUGGUCUCUCUCACAACUUGUUACAGUGUUUUAUCUGUUUGCUACUUGAUGCUGUUCUAGGAAAAAUUAGAACUUUAAAUUAUUAGUGUUAAUUUUAUCAUUGCUCUUUCUAUUGUGCUAUUCCAGUUUUUAGUGCAGCUAUAGAGCAUUUAACUCAUGUACAGCAUCACCAAAAAUUACACAAUUAUUACUUUAUACCUUUGUAUGCAUAUAUGUUUCAUUCUUAUCAGAACAGUGGAAACAACACGCAAAAGUAGCUCAACUGAUAUUUCACUUCCUGAUAUGUACACAUUCUAUCAACACUCUGAACUUACCGAUGACUAAGGAAGGACUGAAAGAGAAAUUUUGAGCUGCCCUAUGUUUUCCUUCUGUGUCAUCAUUUCAGCGUAAGUGGUUGGCUAAUACAGGAAAGUAACAUGAGUAAAAAAGGGAAUGUUUGGGUGCCAUGGUCAUUCAUGCUCCUUAGAAUGCCAUUACCUUCUUUUUGCAUUCAAGUCAAGUCUGGUUCAGAUAGAAAGUAUGACCUUUUGGGGCCCUUGUGUCCCCAUUUUCUCAGUUGUAGACAUAACAUGCUUGCCUUGUACUUAACUCUGAACCUCCCUGGACUCUCAUGUAUGGUGGGCCCACUAGAAUUCUGUGCUCACAAGAAUCACGAUGGCUGUAAAUGAAAGAGGUGGUAAGGAACAGUGGACACACAUAUUGCACAUUAUCUCCUCUGCUCACGUGUAUGCUUGUCUCAUCACGCUUGACUUACAAAACACAAGUUCAAAGAUAAAACUAAGAAUUUCAAGGCAGUAACAGGAGAGCAUUAAAGCAAGUGUGAGGCCUUCUGAGUGUGGAGCUCUGUGUGACUUCACAGGUCACAUGCCCAUGAAGCUGGCCCUGGUGAAGGGGGAAGGGAGCAUUCCUGGCAAAAGGCUUCAGACAAUGCAUAGGUUGAGUGGGUUACAUGGGGAAAAAGCUCACGAGGAUACUAAUGUUUUGAAACUAAAGCAAUUAAAAUGGCAAUAGGCACUACUAUAAAUCAACUGCCCAGGAAAAAGACUCUAUGCUGGAAUUACAGAAAGAGAAUAAAUGGCAGGAUGCUUCACGAUGCCUUGAUGUAGGUAAGACUGCGUGAAGUGCCACAUCGUCAUGCUGCUUGCAUCCUACAGCAGGGAAGACCCAAGCCAAGGGUAGGCAUGGCAAGGGGCAGCUUGCAUAGGAUAAUCCACAGAAUAUGGGUUAUUCCUGUGCUCCCCAAAGGUGGGCAUGCAUCAGUGUCACUGGAAUUGUGUGUAGAAAAUAAGAUGCAUAGAUCCCACUCCAGACCUACUAAAUCAAAAUUGCAAGGAAAGAUUCCAAGCAUCAGGGCUUUUAAUCAACCACAAUGAUGACAGUAAUGUUCACUGACUCUGAAACUUUCUACUUAAUGGGCCUGGGUGGUAUUGCUUUCAUUGCAGGAGAAGAACUCAAAAUGUUUUUAAUCUAGUGAAGCAUAUACAAUGACUGGAACAGAAGAACCAAGGGACCUUUUAGUUUCUGUAUGAAAUACAUCCAUUUUUAAAACUUUAUAUUAUGGAGAAUUUUAAACAUUUACAAAGAUAGAAUAGUAUAAUGAAUCCUCAUGUAUCCAUCACCCAGUUUCAACAAUUAUCAGCUUAUGACCAAUCAUAUUUAUCUAUACCCCUGUUCUUUAUCCCUUUAAUUUUAAUUUUUAAAUAAUUCCAUUUUAACUUACCUGUUGAUUUAAGUUAUACUUCUGUGCAUUAUAUUUUAGCAGUUGCUCUAGAGAUUACAAUAUGUAUUCUUAACUUUUUUUCUGUUCAAUACAGUAGCCAUUUAUAUAUACAUAGGGUCCCUGGUAGCCAUAUUUGUGUAGUAUAACUCUGCCUCCUUGACUACAGUUGACUGACACUGGGAGAGUACCAAUCCAAAUUGGAAUCUUGUGAUUAAUUUCCUUUGGCUUAAGCCAACGCAGACUGGAUUCUGUUUUUCCCACCAAGCAUUCUCUGGUUAACACAUCAGCCUUCAUUAUGGAGUUACUGUGAAGAUUAAAUACACAGCAUGAAGAGUGGCAAAGAAUACCUCGGAGAGCAACCAGAGCAGGGACACAAACAGCCCUCAGAAUAGUUCAAGACCAACACAGACACCUCGUCCCUCAAGCAAAAGCUGCACAGUGAGGGACAAUCUAUUAAGGGCAAGAUUAAACCUCUGGGAAAACAGCUUACCUUUACCAAGGCUCCAGUUCCCAACUUUAUACCUUUAAACUGUUUUUUCUUUAAAUGAGGUCAUCCCUUGGGAGAGAUGGAGACACAGAUUGCACUUGAGGAUCUCUGUUUAAAUCUCUGGGGGUUCCUGAGGCACACCUGCUCCCAUAGGUGGCUCUAGACCAUGGCCACACAGGUUCUAGACAGAGUGUUGGGAUUCUAGAAUAUAGGCUUGUUGAACAACUUAAUAAGAAAAACUUUUCCUUUAAACAUGUGAUUCUAAAACAGACUGCUGUGACCUUAAUUACCAUCCUCACAAAUCAUGUUUUUGGCCAUUUAAAAAAAUGGGAAAUCACCUUCAAUAUUAUAAUAUCAAGAAUAGGAAAAAUUCAAUCAAGCACAAGACAAAUUUAAAAAUUAGUCUUACAACAUUCUUCUAUAAAUACAAGCUUAUAAAGCUUAAUUUAACCCAAAGGUGAACUUCCAUUUACAGAUGUUGAUUUAGGAAGUUGUUUAAACUUCUAUAACCUUUACAAAUUUCAGGACAAGUUCUUCUUCCAUAGAUAGACAAGUUGUUUUUUUAUACCACCUACUGACGGGCUUCUAGAUCAGAGCCCAUUUUCCACUGAGACUGCAUAUCUGAGGAUGGUUUACACUGGGAAUGGACUCCUUUAUUCCCUUGUCACUUCCAAUCUUAGGCCUAAUGUUCUGAGCCAAGAAGCGCUCUGAUGUUGGUUGAAUUCCUCUAAUUCUGUAGCCAGGUCUACCACCAGCUGCUGUGUGCUGAGCUCCAGUCAAAAUGACCUAAAUCAGCAUACCAUCAAGGACACCAUUUUUUUCUGAGGCUGGAUAGAACAGCUACAAAAGCUUGCCCAGGCAUCCAUCUCUUUCUGUAUAGCAACAUUUUAGAUUCUUAUUUGAAACUUGGGGUUUACAAAAAUAUAAUUUUUCCAUUGGGUACUCAAUUCAAAUGUUUUUUGGAAGGGGUGACUGCUUCUGUCUCCUAGCCCACUGCCGUGCCCAGAAGUGUCUGGCUGUCACCCUGUGGAACCCCCCUCCCAGAAAGCAGCACAGGGUUAAAAAGCAUUUCUAGGCAGGGUCUCUCUGAAGGAAAAUGAGACUUCUGGUCUGUUUUCUGAAAGAGCAAUAGCCAAGGCCUCUGCUUAGCUAGGCCAACUGAAUAGUCCAAGUACUGCAGUGACCUAUCGCAGUCCAAGAAAGCCUGCCGCUCACAGAGGAACAGAAGGUGUCCUACUUACCUCGUGGUGGAUUUAGUGCCAUACCUUUAAUGUGCUGCACCAAUCCUCUGUGGAAUAUCUUUAUUUUCUUCCAGUUUUAUUUAGAUAUAAUUGACAUAUAGCCCUGUGUAUGUUUAAAGUAUACAGCCUAAUGAUUUGACUUACAUACAUCAUGAAAUGAUUACACAGUAAGUUUAGUGAACAUCCAUCCUCUCAUAUAGAUGCAAAAUUAAAGAAACAGAAAAAAAGUAUUUUUUUCUUGUGAUAAGAAUUCGUAGGAUUUACUCUCUUAACAACUUCAUAUAUAAUAUAUAGCAGUGUUAAUUAUAUUUAUCAUGUACGUUACAUCCCUAGGACUUAUUUACCUUAUCUGGAAGUUUGUACCUUUUGACUGCCUUCAUCCAAUUCCUCCUCCCCCCACCUGCUGCCUCUGGUAACCACAAAUCUGAUCUCUUUUUCUAAGAGUUUGUUUUGAAGUAUAAUUGGCCUAUAACACCAUGUUAGUUUUUUCCUAGUGUACAACACAGUGAUUCAAUAUUUCUAUACAUUUCAAAAUGAUCACAAGUCUAGUUACCAUCUGUCACCAUACAAAAAUAUUAUGUAAUUAUUGACUAUAUUCCCCACACUGUAUAUUUCAUACCUGUGACUCAUUUAUUUUAUAACUGGAAGUUUGUACCUCUUAAUUUCCCUCACCUAUCUCUCUCCUUCCCCCAACUCCUUCCCCUCUGUCAAACACCUGUUUGUUCUCUGUAUCUAUGAGUCUGUUUCUGUUUUGUUUGUUUAUUUGUUUUCAUGUAUAGAUUUCACAUUAAAGUAAAAUCAUAUGG